UAUUUGAGAUCACACGUUCUCGUGCCUCUCACGAGAUGUAAUUAUCUCUAAAUAUUAUUUUAUGUAAAAUCUUGUAAAUACACUCUCUGUAGUUAUUUCUUAUAUGUAGUUUUUAGCUCAAUUUGGCCGAAAGUAUUUUUUUAAGUGUUGUGCAAUUAGCGGUGUUCGUCGGGUCAGGAUUGGAACCAUGGAUACACCAUCAUCAGAUGGUCCAACUGGGUGUUUCAACAGCAUAUUACCUAACAGUACCUAAGCAGUAUUUGCUGAAAAUGGAAGGUUGGGACGACCAGAACCAAUUAUUGGGAUGAUGAACUAUUGUCACUGUAUAAGUAUAUUACGGAGGUUUCAUUAUUUUAUUUUGUAUCUGAUAGCAGAAAAAAGUAAGUAUUAUAUUAUUUAAGAUUCUUGCUAUUAAUCAAAACCAAAGAGGAGAUUACUAAAUAACUGCCAUUUUUAUGUUUAUUUUCAGAUCUGUAUAGCAGCACAAUUAAUUUCAUUCAAGUUUCAAAUACACAUUAUCUACGAAAGAAGAUUAAGUAAGGUUCUUCCCAGGAGAGGUUUCGAGGCUAAAGAAUUAUACAAACUUCUUCUAUUUACAGAAUUUAAGGACAUCUGAAUUAUGACCUCCAAAGGACCGGAUCACAGCGAGGCAUAUCGCUGCCCUAAACACACAUUAUGUCUAAUCAAAACUUCUCUGAAAAUGUCUUGCACAUGGGUUUUCGCACAUCGUUUAGAAGGCAAUCCUGUCAAACAGAAAAACCAUCGAAAUAGCUGAAUACCUUCAACUGGCCGACUGAUUUCCUUGAAAAGUCACCCCUGGUCUCCAUUGCUUACAGACCCACGUGGCCGCUGCCUCGACGCUUCGCUGCGAUCUUCCACGCUGUGCCACAGCGGCGUUUGGAGUCGUUUGCAGUUGGGUAUUUUGAGCACAUUAUGGCGAGUGGGAAAAGACCCUGUGGUAGGAGUCUAAUUCGCUGGACAGACCAAAUGCGUUCAAGCUCCACGUUAAACAGCAGUCUGUGACACCAUCCACGCCGCCGAAGAUAGGACAAGAUGGCGAAAGAUAGUCCAGGAGAAACUGAUUCAUCGAGGUCUAGACCCUCAGCAUUGAGAACAGUAGACACAAGGAGGAUAUCUGUGCAGUAUUAACUGUUAGGUGCGUACCUGGUACCCAUGUCUGCCUCACUGUGAUGGUCAUACGUCGUUUCAACAGGGACAUAAGCUUGGUACCUUCGCCUCCAUCAUUGACCUUCCUGGCCACAUCGACAUCACGUCUAUUGGUUAAAAUGAGGCAAUAAUUUUGAAAUGUAUAAUCUGCAUGCAAAUAUUUGAGGAAAACAGAAUAAUCUAUAAAUCUUUAUUUGGUUCACAUUAAUGAUCCCUAACUUUAGGAGGCUCCAGCUGUUGUAAACGUAGUUUGCUACAACUUAUCACAUUUCCUAUGUACCUGUAGAUAUAUGGUAUGUAUGUAGGUAGGUAAUUAAUAAUGUAGAGGGGCCUACCUACUUAUUUAUCAGUUACAAAAGUCAGACCUACAGUGUCUUAUAUUUGUCAUAUAUUUUCUUUUUGUAAUAAACGUCAUUAUGUUA